CAUUUCUGUCUCUUACCGAACUGCUGUGUGGACCACGUGUGAAACAGCGGUGCUGCUCUUCCUUUCUCUCCAAACUGGAACGCUUCUAACUCACAGAUCCCGCGCUCAGCAUGGACCAUCUUCUCCAUCUUUGACAAUUCUCUGAAAAGUCUCCAGCUGCCAAACCGCCUCCUUCCAUCACAACAUCAGCCUCAAUAUCUGAUCUGGGAACAGACGUGGAGGUACAGGCACAAAUUAAUAAAUCACACAGGUGCAAUAUAGAGGAACCACCCCUAGGAGCGUCAUUAGCAGGAACCUCAGGGGACCAGUGAGGUUGAGAGAGGAGCUCUGGGAUUGCAGCAGCCUUGGACACCAGCUCUGACUGAGACUAAGACAGGAA